rnacentral:rRNA from 1 species
GACGAACGCUGGCGGCGUGCUUAACACAUGCAAGUCGAACGGAAAGGCCCUGCUUUUGUGGGGUGCUCGAGUGGCGAACGGGUGAGUAACACGUGAGUAACCUGCCCUUGACUUUGGGAUAACUUCAGGAAACUGGGGCUAAUACCGGAUAGGAGCUCCUGCUGCAUGGUGGGGGUUGGAAAGUUUCGGCGGUUGGGGAUGGACUCGCGGCUUAUCAGCUUGUUGGUGGGGUAGUGGCUUACCAAGGCUUUGACGGGUAGCCGGCCUGAGAGGGUGACCGGCCACAUUGGGCCUGAGAUACGGCCCAGACUCCUCCGGGAGGCAGCAGUGGGGAAUAUUGCACAAUGGGCGGAAGCCUGAUGCAGCAACGCCGCGUGCGGGAUGACGGCCUUCGGGUUGUAAACCGCUUUCGCCUGUGACGAAGCGUGAGUGACGGUACUGGGUAAAGAAGCACCGGCUAACUACGUG